UGGGGAAUUUUGGACAAUGGACGCAAGUCUGAUCCAGCCAUGCCGCGUGCGGGAAGAAGGCCUUCGGGUUGUAAACCGCUUUUGUCAGGGAAGAAACGAGUUUCUCUAAUACAGAGACUUAAUGACGGUACCUGAAGAAUAAGCACCGGCUAACUACGUGCCAGCAGCCGCGGUAAUACGUAGGGUGCGAGCGUUAAUCGGAAUUACUGGGCGUAAAGCGCGCGCAGGCGGUUAUAUAAGACAGAUGUGAAAUCCCCGGGCUCAACCUGGGAACUGCAUUUGUGACUGUAUAGCUAGAGUACGGCAGAGGGGGAUGGAAUUCCGCGUGUAGCAGUGAAAUGCGUAGAUAUGCGGAGGAACACCGAUGGCGAAGGCAAUCCCCUGGGCCUGCACUGACGCUCAUGCACGAAAGCGUGGGGAGCAAACA
rnacentral:rRNA from 1 species